CUGGAGUUGGACACAGCAGCUAGAAGCAGCAGCCAGAGGAAGAAUCUGGCGCAGGGCCAAGAGCUUAGCGUUCCUGGUGGCAGGAGGCAGCUGUUCAAGAAGAAACAGCCAGGACACCAAAGCUGAAAUCACCGAAGUUAAAAGCUGAGAAGGUCUGAGGGGAGCAAACCUUCAGGAGAGAUGAAGCCAGAUUGCCAGUUCGUGGCAGUUGCGUCCAAGGAGCAGCUGGUCCCUGUUCAGAAAGAAGUCUUCAGCAAAGUCCAGGUUUUGCAGGUCAAGAUUUUGUUUGGAUCAGUUGGGCUAAAGCUAAACAUGGGAAUGUCUUCACACUGUAGACAGUGAAUGCUGAAAAAGUGACAACGACCUGAAUCCAUAAAGGAAAUCUUCCUCAGGGGCCUGCUUGAUCCACUUCACAUUCUUAGCCUGUUUUAUUAGAGGUUGGAAAAGGUUCAAGACCUGGUUGUACCGCUGCACCCACCGACAGCUAAGGAACCAGUUUGGCGUCUGGUUCAUCUGUUCUUUUACUCCUGACCUUCAAAUCAACUUUCACCCCUGACCCUCGGAGGCAUCUAUCAUGACAAGAGGCUGUUUAACACAAAUGCUGCCCAUUUAUAGGGGAAGAGAGUCAGAAGGUUUCCUUUUUAUGAAGAAUUUGGGGGUUUGUUUUUUUUAUUCCACCCUUCUUUUCUGUCACCACAGGUGAAAUCCCUCCUAGCAGCUGGCUUAUGAAAUAAUGUGAGGGGAGGCCUUAAUGAGCUGAAAGCACCCUCAGCUGGAGAUAAAUAUAUGCAAAUGAGAUGCACAAACAAAGGCGCCUGGACAGAGAAAUAUCUGCAAUUCCAGCAAAAUGCUGCCUGAAGCUAGAAGGUGAACAGCUUUGAUAAAAUGGUAACAGAAAGCACCUUUUUAUCCUCAAGCUUGUUUUACAUUGCAAUAGACCAUUGUCAU